CAGCUGAGCCCCUCGUGUGAGCCUGUGCAUUUGCCAGGGGCUGCCUGCUGCCUGUGGGAACAAGAGAAGCCUCCCAGGGGGAUCUGAGAGCGGCUUGAGCCCCACAGCCCCCCUUGAUGUUGGGCACAAAGGGCUACAAGGUCAGUUGCUGCAUCCCUGUCCAAGUACAGCUGUGGGUUGUGAUAGGAAUUUUGAGGUCUUAAAAGGUAAAGGGACCCCUGACCAUUAGGUCCAGUCGUGGCCGACUCUGGGGUUGCGGCGCUCAUCUCGCUUUAUUGGCCGAGGGAGCCGGCGUUUGUCUGAAGACAGCUUGCCGGGUCAUGUGGCCAGCAUAACUAAGCCGCUUCUGGUGAACUAGAGCAGCGCACGGAAACGGUGUUUACCUUCCCGCCGGAGUGGUACCUAUUUAUCUACUUGUACUUUGACGUGCUUUUGAACUGCUAGGUUGGCAGGAGCAGGGACCGAGCGACGGGAGCUCACCCCAUCGCGGGGAUUCGGACCGCCGACCUUCUGAUCUACUUUAUUUACAUAUAAACACACACGGAGCACUGCAACAUGGCUCCCUCUCUCUCUAGCAUCAGACAGCAGAGAGAGAGAGAAAGGACAAUAGUCCCACUUCACAGAACACAGUAACACAAACAUCCUGUCUCCGUCACUUCCCACUCUGUGGUGUCAGAACAUACAGCAUCAUGUGAAAGACAACAAUCCCAUGACUGCAAUCAUGGAGCAGGAAUUCUAAGAAUAAUAUGCCUCACCCAAAGAGCGCUUUUUAAAAAAAGAAAGGAAGAAAGAAUACCAAAUAAUUUCAUAGAACUUUGCACACUUAUAUAGGGUAAAGUCAUCCUAACUGGAGUGGUACUUCUUGAUAGUAUGCUUCUGAAUUUCAGCGGCUGGAAAUUGCAGGAGGGGAGCUUGGCUACUGUGAGAACAGGCAUCCUGGACUAGGUGGGUCCCUGGCUUGGUGCAACAGGGUUUUUAAAGUUAUUUUGUAUAUGGUGCAACUCAGGAAUAGGUGAAGUCCCAUUGAUUCUUGGGGGAGUAAGGCAGGACUGGGCCUUCGUAGAAUGUGAUAUUUAAAGAUGAUGUAUUACAUUUUUACCAAGUAACUGGUUCUAAAAAAACAAUAUCCAAAUAAUCAGCUUAAUCAAAAGAAUCCGUUGAGAGCCUGUUUGGCAGAAAAGUAUGGUGAAAAUGAAAAAAAUCUGUCAGUAGUUUGUUGUUCAACUCUUGAAGCACAUUUACUUUCGUGGGAAUAAACUACCUCCCGGCUCCCCCCCUCAAAAAAACCCCCAAACAGCAACCAUAGGUAUCAGGGCUGAAAUAAGUGCUGGAAAUCAUGAUGACCUCUGAACUUGAAAAUUUUGCUCUCCUUUCCUCUUGAUCACUAGUGUUAGUGACCAAAAAUAUAUAUGCACAUACCUAAAGGAAUUUCUUCUAUUUCACGUUGUUGUUGUACUCAUCAUCCUUAAUUACACACCCUUUACCAACAUGUCCCAGAUUGGGUUACAAUUCAAAAUUCAAAAUUUAAAACAGUUAAAACAGUUAACAAUCAAAGGAAUAGAGGGGCCCCUGAAAACACACAUCUCAAAGGUGGAGAGGUUCAUCUCCAUCUUUUGCCAAAAGCUGAACAGUGAAGAAGCCAAACACAUAACAGUGAGGACGGAAUUCCAAAGUUUAGGGAGGGGAUUCAACAGAGAAUACAAUCUUCUGGGCCACACCCCCCCCCAAUUCUGAGGGCUGUGAAACUCCCAAGAGCUUCCCCUCUGCUGAUCUUAACACCUGUGAGGGUCUGCACCUGCGAGAUCUUUCAGCUAUGUGAGGCUUAAGUAAUUUAGGGCUUAAAACACUAAAGUGAGUAAUAUAAAGUGAGUACAGUGGUACCUCAGGUUAAGUACUUCAUUCGUUCCGGAGGUCCGUACUUAACCUGAAACUGUACUUAACCUGAAGCACCACUUUAGCUAAUGGGGCCUCCUGCUGCCGCCGUGCCGCCGGAGCACAAUUUCUGUUCUCAUCCUGAAGCAAAGUUCUUAACCUGAAGCACUAUUUCUGGUUUAGCGGAGUCUGUAACCUGAAGCGUAUGUAACCUGAAGCGUAUGUAACCCGAGGUACCACUGUGCUAUAAAAUGCAGCUCUUAUAUGAAGGCCUGGAAAAAAAUGGGAAAAAUUGGAGGAAAAACAGGUUUUCCCCCAUUUCCCCCCAAGGCAGUUUUUUAGAAGCCCAUGAGAAAAAAUGACAAAAAGGAAGAGGAAGAGAAAAUGGAAAAUGAUAGCAGUAGUUCAGAAAAUGAGAUAGAAUAAACUGCAUGUACAGUCAUAACUCAUGUUUCAUCCGCUUCAUGUUACGUUCUUUCAGGUUAUGUCCCGUGGCGACCCGGAACUACCGGAAAGGUUUACUUCCGGGUUUUGCCGCUCGCGCAUGCGCACAUGCGCAAAAUGACGUCACACGCAUGUGCAGAAGCAGCGAAUCGCAACCUGCACGUGUGCAGACGCGCCGCUGCGGGUUGCGCUCUUUUCAUGUUGCGAACGGGCCUCCGGAACGGAUCCCGUUCGCAACCAGAGGUACCACUGUAUAUGUUGUGUCUUCUGUUUCUUUUUUAAAAAAGCACUACUCAAAGGGUAGACCUUCUGUGGAGCUUAAAUAUUGAGGUCAACCUUAACUUUAUUUGCUGUUGGUGUUUUUAUGUUGAUGGUUUCUUGGUUUUUGCUAUCCUGGGCAGCCCAUUUGCCACUUCAGAGCGCUCCUUCGUCUCACUGGGUCUCGCCUGGGGCUUGGGCUACACAGUGGUUUGGCAGGGCACAUACCAAACUUUCUGUGGGAUGGCCGCCCCUGGAGCCCUUUCCAGUGACUGCCACAGAGAAGCCCAUUUAUCUAUUUCUUGGAGUAUCAUAGUAUCACAGAACUGGAUGGCUGGAAGGGACCCCUGAGGGCCCUCUAGUUAGACCAACCCCCUCCAGUGCAGGAAUCACAGCACAAGCAUCUCUCACAAAACAACUUUGCUCCAUCUUCCCUGUGAACAGCCCCUCAGAUACAACAGAAUAACAGAACCAUUUGCAGAGUUGGAAGGGAACCACCAGGGUCAUCCAGUCCAACCCCCUGCAAUGCAGAAAUCUUUUGCCCAACAUGGGGCUUGAAACCACAACCCUGAGAUUAAGAGUCUCAUGUUUUACUACUACUACUACUACUACUAUUACUAAUUUAUUUGUACCCUGCCCAUCUGGCUGGGUCUCCGCAGCCACUCUGGGCGGCUUCCAACAAAGAUUAAAAAUACAUUAAAAUGUCACCCAUUAAAAACUUCCCUAAACAGGGCUGCCUUCAGAUGUCCUCUGAAUGUCAGGUAGUUGUUUAUCUCUUUGACAUCUGGUGGGUUUAGGGCUUAAAACAUACUUUAGGCUUAAAACAUACUUUAGCUUAAGGCUUAAAACAUCUCUGGGGAAUCUUUCCUAAAAAAGUCAACAACUUUGGGGUCCCCCCUUAAGGUCGACAACUCUGGGAAAUGGGGGUGGGACGACGACGACCACCAGAGGGAUCUUUGCACCACUGCACCAGAUAUUCUUAAGAUGGCCCUGCACAGUGCAACUCAGCACCAACAAAAUGUGUAAGUUGUGUUACUGAGAAAGCUGUCAAACCUUCAUUUCCUCCUUGCACCGAGCUGAGAAGCACCAAAGUGCUUGCCACAGUCAACAAUGACUUUUGUGGGCCAAUGAAUUGGGGGAAGAACAAGUAUAUACUAAUUUUUCUUGAUGAUUUUGAAAGUAUUGUGUAACAUAUUUCCUCAAGGAAAAGAGUGAAACGCUGGAAAUGUUCAAGAACUACCUUGCUAUGGUGAAGAACAAAUUCCAGAGAGCACCAGCUAUGCUAAUGACUGAUAAUGGGAGUGAGUAUCGCUCACGUGACAUGCAAUCUCUCCUAGAAAAGGAAGGAAUUGUGCAUGUAACCACUGUUCCUUACACCCCACAACAGAACUCAAUAGCUGAAAGAAAGUUCAGAUCCAUCAUGGAGAUGACAAGGUGCAUGUUAAAGGAUGCGUUUCUACCCCAAAGCAUGUGGAGAGAAGCAGUAGAAACAACUGCAGUGUAUCUCCAGAACAGACUGCCAGCAAAGGGAGCUAAAUGCACACCUUUUGAACUUUGGCAUGGGAGAACUCCCAACCUGUCACACAUUCGUGCAUUUGGAAGUCUAUGUUACUACCAUGUUUCCAGAGAACAUAAAGGUAAAGGUAAAGGGGCCCCUGACCACUAGGUCCAGUUGUGACCACCUCUGGGGUUGCGGCGCUCAUCUCACUUUAUUGGCCAAGGGAGCCGGCGUACAGCUUCCGGGUCAUGCGGCCAGCAUGACUAAGCCACUUCUGGUGAACCAGAGCAGUGCACGGAAACACCGUUUACCUUCCUGCCAGAGUGGUACCUAUUUAUCUACUUGCCCUUUGACGUGCUUUCGAACUGCUAGGUGGGCAGGAGCAGGGACCGAGCAACAGGAGCUCACCCCAUCAUGGGGAUUCGAACCGCCGAUUUUCUGAUUGGCAAGUCCUAGGCUCUGUGGUUUAACCCACAGCGCCACCCGCGUCCCUCUCCAGAGAACAUAGACCUAAGCUUAAUCCCACUUCUUAAUCCACUCCUUAUUCUCUGGCAGGUGGAGUUGCUGCUGGAGGCCUUCUACAAGAUCACCCAGGGGCCUACAGUGGAGGGCAGAAAUGUGGCUGUCUGUGCUUUCUCCAUCAUAGCUUGCCAUCACCUGGAGAAAGUGAUUGAAUACCUCCCACAGUGUCACGAGCCUGUCUCCAAAUUUCUUCCUCUUCUUACCCUUCUUUUUUGCUGCCUCGUGGCAACAGACAGAGGUUUUGGGGGGCUCCUGCCGUGGUACCAUAGCCAUGAAUAGGUCCUUCAAAAGGAAGAGCGAUUUCUUCUCUCUGUAGCAUGGCAGCAAGCAGAAGACUUGCAUCUGCAUUCACAGUGACUGCGAGAGAAUAUGGCAGGAGGUUUUUGCAUCGGCCGACCAACAACAACUACUCCAUCUGAGGGCCGAGCAACUGUACCAAAGCCCCUUGGCGGAAUCUGCCACCACAGUGGUAAGGACAAACCGCCUGCUUUCUGGUUUCCUUCUCCCCAGCGUAAUAUCCAGGGGUUUCUGUAUUCAGCAUAAAAGCAGGGAAAGUGACUUGCACCUCUCUCUCUUCCAGCAACAUCUGACCAGCCUGUUGCACGCCAUCCUCAGGAUGGAGGAAUACAAGGCAGCUGUGCACCAGCACUUCCCACAGCUGCUGAUCGCUCUCCUGGGAAUGCUUAUCAACUUCCCCUAUGACCAGGAAUUCCCCAGAUGAGUAGUGCAUUGCAAAGCGGCCAAUAGAGUCCUUUUUCCCUUCAGCCUCUGGGGGUUUCCAGUCCAGUUGGUUUUCCAAGGGAGGCUCUCCUUCAGGCGGCUACUAGGGAGCAAGGAUGGGGAAUGAAUUUGAUUCUGUUUGCAUGUCAAGGCAGAUCUGCAUAAUUCACAUUUUCUGGAAAUAACAACUUCUGGGGAAGCCUCGUAAACAUGGUUUUCCACUUUGGUUCUUGAUGUUCUGACUUACAAUAAUCAAAUACCAAACAGUACAGAAAACCAGGAUCUUUUGAUGCUAUCCUGCUGAGAGCAGCUCUUUUUUCUUUUUCUUUUUUCCAGAUAAGAGGUCCUGAUUCCCAAAGCCUGUGGCAGUGACCCACCUGGUAAUACUGGCCUUGUUUUGAAUACAGAGAGGCUAAGGAACAUCUGCACCACCUUCUCAGCACCACUGGAGAGAAGCUAGAGACAGCCAUCAUAGACCAAUUUUUCUGCCCGGAGAAUUUCAGCCAGGGGUUGUCUGCCAUGGUGAGGUAAGAGGAAGAACACAGUGACCUUCUAAUGGUCUGGCAAAUGGAGCUCAAGGCAUGGGAUAGGAAUGUGUCCCUGAAAGUGAUACUGUUGGAUUCCUCCCAUGGUGGAAAACAUCACCGCUGCUCUUAAGAACAAGGAGUUUGGCAGAAUGCCACAAGCAGCUGGAGCUAUCUACAUCGAGGUGAGGGGGACUGACGCAGGAGGAAAUGGGUGCAGCAAGGAGGCCCUGACUUGGUUUCUGCUGAGAGUUGGGCUUUGUGUUCUUCAACUCUGUCUUUCCCAGAGGGACGUGUCCUUCCACUAACAGCAGAGAGUCCCCCAAGGCCAAAUUCUGCAUCUCUUCUGCCACAUCCAUGCCAUCUUUGGCUACACUGAAGACAUGGUGAAGCAAAGUUUGGUCUCUGACCAAUACAACCAUGUUGUGGUUGUCUUACAACAUAGCAGAGGCAUCUUUAUUGAUGAGAUCUCUGCGGGUGAAGGGGCUUUUGUGGUCUCCCUACACAAGGCCUUCCUGCAACAUUGUUUUUGGGUGGCCCCAAGAAGCGCAGCUCCCAAGGUUCCCCAUUUAAAGGCUUUCCUCCGGAUGCAGACAACAGAUACUCGCCCUCCCCAGUUUAGACGGCAACCCCAGUGGGGGUUCUCCAACAUGCCCCCAUCAGAGUUUGGACCUUGCACCUACAUUUAACUUCAAUAUUCUGUGGCUUACGUCAAAGCUACUUAGAGCCUAAGGAUUGUCUACAGUUUUGGUGUUCCUCAGAGUAGACCCAUUGGACUUAAUGUACAUGGUGAACUUAGGUCCAUUCACUUCCAUGGGUUUGCUUCACACAGAACUGUGUUGGAUACAACUCUCCAUCUGUAGUAAGAAUACAGAUGGUGGAUAAACCGAGAACCUGUCUAAACCUUUCAUCCCUGAAGAACACACCUAGUGCAACCACAUAUAGGCAGCUUUUCCAGCUGCAUGCAAGUUUACAUGUUUCUUGUAACCCUCUGACGGUAAAUACAUCCAGACCAAGCAAUCUCAGAAUCUCUCUUGGACAGCAAAAUUCUUGCAAGCUGAGCAUGUGAAAUAAGGGAAAUAUAUCUAUAAAGGCUCUUUUACAGUCUUGUGGACAAAAGAAAUUGAGGUGUUCAGCAAAAUGAGAGCUGUUUUUUUUUUAAUCACUCCCUUCUUCCCUAUGCUUCCAUUUUAAUAUGUUGCACUAAUGUCCCCCCCACCCCUUCAUUUGAUUAUAGCACAGAGUUACUGAUGCAGCAGCAAAUUAGAUUUUUCUCUUGUCCUUAAUGUGCUGCAAUAAUGAAAUCCAUGACUUUCAACCUCACAGGUUGACAUCACCUGUAUAUUGGCAGUUCAGAGCUGAAGGCUGGGAGCUCAUUUGUCUUACUUGGGCUGGCUUUCUUUCCCGUGAAAAGAGCCCCCAAGGAAUGAUAUAUUUUGUGCUAUCUGAGCUUCCGAGGCUGAUAAAAUAGUUUUAAAACUCACACACCAAAGAAGCUUUGUUCUUUUGCCUGAAAUAUAUUUUGCUCAUAUUGUGUCUUAACAGACACCCUGUUUUCAGAGUCUGAGGCACCGGGGUCAGCAGCAGUCUGCAUCAAAGAUUUUGUAGAUGUGUCCCACUUUACAGAGGGCAGUCCUCUGUCUAAGGGCACCCCUCACUUUGAAGGGCUGUGUGAUCUGAAUCUGGCUUUGAAGAUAAAGAACCCUAAAAAGAGAGAGCAAAAUAGUAUGUCCUCUCUUUUUUUAGUGAUGUCAAAGGAUUGAAUUUCUUUGUCCAAUGAGCAUGCUCAGUCCCUUUGCGGUAGGAGGGAUUUCAUCCCCUUAGGGACUUUCCUGUAUAUUUUUGCUACUUCUUCAGAUUUGUAAAUGUUUUGCUUUUGGCCUUUUCUAGUAAUCAAUGUGACCUGUCCUGUACCUAGACCAAAUUCAAGGUUUCUAGGUGAUGGGGAACUAUUUUAACAGUUUGGGUACCCCGAUGAGUGAGUCAAGUUGCCAGGCAACUUGUACUUAUGUGAAGGAUAGGUUGCAAUAGUGUUAAUAUAAAGAGAUAUGAGCUAUCUUUUCCUAUAAACAACUAUGGAUUUUGCUGAAAGUAUAAUUAUAUAAACAUGCUCACGGAUGAUUACAAUUAUUUAAGCAUUAUUGCUGCAGGUGUGCGAUAGCAAUUACAGAAGAGCACUUACGCUGAGAUUCAGUUGUACAAAUAUCAGCACCUGCUUGCUUUACUGAAACAGCUUAAUUAACAUAAUAUGUUCUAUAUUUGAUUACACCAAAGUGGAAUUGUGUCCACCAAAUCAAAGGCACAUGUUUCUGCUUCUGAAGCAUAAUUGCUUAAUUGUUGUUGUAUAUAUUAAUUUUUUCAUAAUGUUCCUUGCCUGAAAGUCCUUGACUUCAAUGCUGCUUUCAGCUCAAGGAGUUCGGCUCCCUUUCUGUUUCCAUUUUAGCAAUAUGGUUAGUCAGAAUUCCAAGGGAAUUGGUACCUGCAGGGGACUUGAACUGAAAACCUCUGGGUCUUCGGUUGAUACAUAAACUAAUGUGUAUUCAAGACCCAGGGCUCUUCUCAAACACACAAGGGAACGGGGAGGAACAAUCACUGGGACUGGCAGGUGGUAUGUCAGGGACUGUCAAGGUUCUGAAGGGUGUGUGGUGGACUUGCUGGGAACCAGGGGAGCAACCCAAGAGAGGGGACCAGUGCUUUAUGGGAUGUCACACCACCCACGAGGCAGGAGCCCGGGGAAGCUGCUGUUUUUCAUCUACCACAUGCAGCUGCUGUUUCUCAUCUACCACAUGCAAUAGACUGAAGAGCCUGCAAGCAAAAUAAUACUUUGCCAACCUCCUGGAAUCUCAGCAUGUGGUUUCCCAUCCAAUGUGAAACCAUACCAAACCCUCCUUAGCUAGCAGUUUUAUGGGGAUCACCCCCCGCAUACUUCAAUCUGCAGGAACGGAUGGAUGUUGCCCUUUGUAUUUAUUUCAUGGUCAAAGCCCUCCAUAGCCACCGUCUGCAUGUGUGUGUAUUCUUCGUUGCAUGCAUUUUUCUGUAAUUUCUAUUAUCUGCAUGCAACAUUAAUCCUGCCACAAUGUAUGAGAAAUGCUUUGAACAUUUGAAUUGUGCCAAAUGCCAUCUUUAGCCCAGUUCAAAACCUACAGCUCUGAAAGCUUGGCCAGUUUUAUGUUGCAAAUGGGAGACACUGGCUGGCAGAGGGCCGGGAGACAAUGAUUUCCCCUAACGCCACUCAGAGAGUUUGCAGAUCAGCUGACAUUUGAACUACGGGUUUCAUGGUCUGCAGCUAAUACUUUUGACCUACUGUGCAAGCUUUCAACAUGUCUAGCAAUCUGGCUGCGCCCAUAGCUAAAUGUCAGCAUGGCCAGACAAGGCAAAUCUGUAACUGCUGGAAAGAAGCGACACUCCCCAGUCCCUAGAUUGGGGAUAGGCAAUGUGGUGCCCUCCAGUUGGACUACAACUCUCAUCAGCCCUAGUCAGCCUGGGAGAUGUAGUCCAAUGACACUACCUGGCCUAGAUUGAGCGUGCUUUAAUGAUUUGUGGUAAGACUUACAGCAAGAUGCAGAAAUAACAACAAUCCUGUUUAGAGGAAUCUCCAUGCAACCCUUAACGACGUCUGGUUUAGCUUGAAUGUGACUGUUAGAGGCAGAAUUAACAGAAUGUUUUCAAAACAUCCAAGCUUAAUAUUCAUCUUCUCAUUAAAGCUGAAGUGGUAGUGGGCAGUGGAGCUCUCAAGGAAUAUAGCAGAGACUCUCAUGUAAUUAAAGCAAUUACUUCACUUUGGCAUAUCUGGAAAGUUGCCAUUCCCUGUGUUUAAUAACGAAGGGACGUAGUUUGACAAGAUCUAUGCCUCUAUGUACCAUAAAACAAACUGCUGAGCUGUCUAUUACUCGGGCAACACAAACCUAUUUUUCAUUCUGUUUUGUCAGGUCUAAUUUCUCCCAGGAGCCCAGAUUGCAUUAGUACUCAUCAGACUUAGGAGGAAGGGAUAUUUUUAUUAUUUUAAAGUUGAUCCAUUGAUUUCUUUUUCUCUCUGCCUCUCUCCGCUGAUUAAAAAAACACUCCCCCAGAAACCAUUCCAUGGCUUCUUUAAAUAAUAUAUUCCAGAACAAGCCAUGUGUGGAAGUAAUUGACAGGAAAUACGAAAUGCUCGUUUAUUUCAUAUGAUUUGGAAUGUUUAAAAAAAUGAAAUGGCAGAACUCUCCUUCCUUGGAGGUUUUUAAGCAGAGGUUGGAUAGCCACCUGUCAUGGAUGCUUUAGUUGAGUUUCCAGGGGGUCGGUCUAGAUGACCCUCAGGAUCCCUUCCAAUUCUAGGAUUCUUGUUUCUGCUCUCUGCAAGCACUGCUUGAACUGUUGCACAAAACCAAUAUAACCAGAGGCUGGACAAAGGAGCAUGUUCUGUUGCAAAUGAUAGCUCCACAGUGCCACCUUCAAGACUUUGAAAAGGCUUAUCGGCAACAAUGCUUCAUUCCCUGUGUGGAGGCCACUGAGCAGAUGUUCCAGCUGUGCCUGACUGAAACAUGCAGCAUCCCAUGGUGGGGACUGGGCGGGUACAAUCCUGAUUUCUUCACUCGGACAGCAGGGUGCAGCGGCUGUGUGUGACAAUGAAUGAAAGAGGCUGGGCCAUCCUACUUCCCCGUCUCCUCACAACACCCUCCACCCCCAUCUAUCAGCCAGCAACAGUGACAUCUAAAACAGGAACAUCUAAAAUAGGCUGUUGAAUUAGGUGAUGCCCUGAACCAGCACAUUCUAUGAUGGAUCCUACGGUCAUCUAUCAUAAUAAAGUCAAUGCAAAAGAGACCAGAUAAGCCCCCUUUCCAGCAAAGCAAUAUAACCUCUCUGCCAAAUACUGUCUUGCAUCAUGACCUUGGCAAGCUGGAAGAAAAUGCACUUCGUGUGAUUUACACGGUUCACCAAUUCCUUUGUUCUUCCUCCAGAUUAGCUAUUUUAAAAAUCACUUGCGGUUUGCACCCGCUCACAAAAACUUCAUUAAUCACUGCAGCAGAGGCAGUAUUUAUUUAUUUAUUUUUUAAAAAGUAUGCUACUGUUUUAGGGAACCAAAUAUAAUUAGCUGUUUUGUGAUUCAUUCAAACUGGCAGCCUUAAUUAGCAUAAUUGAUAGGCUGAUUAAUGAAUAAAUCAUGGAUUUAAAACGGGAUUUUUAAUCAGUGCUGUCCCUUCGAAGAGGGUGUUUCUGUGCCAAUCAUAAUAUUCUAAAUUAUUUGUGUGCACUUCUGUUUCACCGAACGUGUCAGAGACGAUUUGGCAGUAGCUUUCGUAAGGCAGGUAUCUUCAAUUACCCAUAAAGCAUAUCCUGAAAUGAGAUACUAUAUUUAUUUAGUUAAUGCAGUACUGUUGAUUCAAAAAGAAGAAGAAAAUUAUCUGAUUGCCGUAUUGCUCAGAGUCCUGCUUGCUCAGAGUCCUGCAUGGAGUGAGUCAGUUGUUCUGAACGACAAUUCUAUAUUUUUAGAUCUCAAAUGUUAACUCUCUCCUGGAUAGUAUAUGACUGAGCAGUCACAGAUAGUGACCAUGCCAGCUUCUGCUCUGGGAUAAAUUUUAACUGCAUAAUUAUUGGCUUGGUGCAAGCGCAUUCUUUCUCAUCUGGUUUUGGUGUGAUGACUAUUGGUCCCAUCACUGCUUCCCUCCACCCAUGCCUCCUGAAUAACUGGGGCUGCAGAGUUAUUAAUGUUCUAAUAGGUUAGCAGGAAGGCCACAUAACAUGGAUGCCAGAAAAUUCAGACAGAAACAGGAGUAGAACCGCCUGUGUUUGCUGAGAGCCACUGUGGUGUAGUGGUUGAGAGCGGUAGACUCAUAAUCUGGUGAACCGGGUUCGUGUCCCUGCUCCUCCACAUACAGCUGCUGGGUGACCUUGGGCUAGUCACACUUCUCUGAAGUCUCUCAGCCCCACUCACCUCACAGAGUGUUUGUUGUGGGGGAAGAAGGGAAAGGAGAAUGUUAGCUGCUUUGAGACUCCUUAAAGGUAAAGGUAAAGGGACCCCUGACCAUCAGGUCCAGUCGUGACCGACUCUGGGGUUGUGGCACUCAUCUCACUUUAUUGGCCGAGGGAGCCGGCGUACAGCUUCCGGGUCAUGUGGCCAGCACGACUAAGCCGCUUCUGGCGAACCAGAGCAGCGCACGGAAACACCGUUUACCUUCCCGCCAGAGAGGUGCCUAUUUAUCUACUUGCACUUAGACAUGCUUUCAAACUGAUAGGUUUGCAGGAGCAGGGACCGAGCAACGGGAGCUCACCCCGUCACGGGGAUUCGAAACGCUGACCUUCUGAUCAGCAAGUCCUAGGCUCUGUGGUUUAACCCACAGCAUUACCCGCGUCCAUUGAGACUCCUUAGGGUAGUGAUAAAGCAGGAUAUCAAAUCCAAACUCUUCUUCUUCUUCUAUUUGUUCCAUGUCCAGAAAUCAACCCAGCAAAUACGGCUGGUGUUUGCUACUGCUGCUGCUUUUGGCCCACUAACGAUACGCAAUGUCUCCUCCAUUUGCAUGGCAUUUAUUUUGCACUGUGGACUAACAUAAUCACAAUGCCAUAAUUUAAUUAAUUACAAAAGAAUUAUGCACCUUGGGGCACCUUAGACUUGAAACUGAGAUUGAUUCAGCAAAAAAAUAACAUUUCAGUAUAUUGGACUCCACAAUGUUUCUAUAGGAAGAUAUUGGAGGUGUAAUGUUGAGAAUGCCUUUUUGAGGCACGAUAUGGACUUAUCAGUCCUUUGAGUCUAAAAUUGUUAGUAACAUAUAUUUGUGUUAUUUUAAACUAUAUUCCUGAAGUAUGCAGAUCAGUGGCUGGACAAUGAAAGUGGAUUUUGCAAGCCACUAUGGUGGCUAAGAUACCUACACUUUAGGAUAACUGCCCAUUGUUUAUUUUGCAAUGGUUUGAGGACCUCACUGCCCUGGGUACAUUCAAAUGUGUUUUGUAUUGUAUAGACAUUGGUUUUGUGUUGACACCUAUUUUGACAUCUGCAUGGCUUAAAGAUCCAUGUACUAAUAAUGGUCCCUAUAUCCACUGACGCGGGUGGCGCUGUGGGUUAAACCACAGAGCCUAGGGCUUGCCGAUCAGAAGGUCGGCGGUUCGAAUCCCCGCGAUGGGGUGAGCUCCCGUUGUUUGGUCCCUGCCCCUGCCAACCCAGCAGUUCGAAAGCACGUCAAAGUGCAAGUAGAUAAAUAGGUACCGCUCCGGCGGGAAGGUAAACGGCGUUUCCGUGUGCUGCUCUGGUUCGCCAGAAGCAGCUUAGUCAUGCUGGCCACAUGACCCGGAAGCUGUCUGCAGACAAACGCCGGCUCCCUUGGCCCAUAGAGCGAGAUGAGUGCGCAACCCCAGAGUCGGUCACGAUUGGAUCUAAUUGUCAGGGGUCCCUUUACCUUUACCUUUAUCCACUGACGGUGGUUUGUUGUUGUUGCUGACAUCUGUCGGUCUUGGGAGACAUGGAAGAUUGUAAAGGUAAAGUCAAACCGUUGGAAAGUUACAGUGCUUGCUGUGGCUGUAGAGACUGAUACAGGAGAGACAUGUUUUGUUGCAGCUGGGGCAGAUGAAGGUGUCCAUUUGUGCUGCUGCAGAUGCACCAUGGCGUUUCUUCUCUCUGUGUUCCUCCCAGCCAUUCCUUCUCUGGUCACUCUGUGGGUACACAACCUGAGUUUUCUGUCUGCAGGCACUGCGAUUGUCUGCGAGGGAUUCCUAUACGGCAGGGAUAAUGUUGUCAUGUUUGCAGACACUUUGUAAUGCAAAGUUGGUCUGUCAACAGGUCUGCUGCUGGAAGCCAGCUGCCCAUAUGGAGCUCAUCCUUGGGGAUUCUGUCAUCUUCCAUUCUGUGUACAUGACCAAGCCAGAGAGCGCCACAGGUGGUGAAAUGUGACAGGCUGCCUUCGUGUCUGCUGGUUUGCAGUCAAGCUGUCCAUAGGGUUGGGACAAUCUCUUCAGUUAGGGGCUGGGAAAUCAGUUGCUGAAGUGGUCACUUCAGGAAAACGUCAUUGCCAUGUUCCUUCCCUUCCUUUUAAUACAAGGACCUGCCACGGCUAUGACUUGGCACACACUUCUGUACUUGUACUAAAUGUGUUGACAAUGCACUUGAUAAGCUAGUGAGAGAUAUUAUAAUCGAGGGACUCAGGUAUUUACCUUCCCAGUGAAGAAGGCAUGGAAAGUCGGUUUGAAUAAAGAGGGACAGGGUUGCCAUUUCCUUCACGAAUGCUUGCAUUGAACAAGGAGCACAAGUUGGGUUGACAACCCAACACCGGUGUGUAUUUCCAGUCUCCAAUACAAUCAUUUCUCUUCAGGGUUCUAGCCAGCCUGGAAGAGGAGGCAUCUCAUUGCAAGAAUAAAUUCAGGAGAGGGAAAAGGACAUCUUUUCCUCGUCCCUCUGCUCCACAGACUUCCCCUGAUUCCCCCUCUUUUGAGGGCUUCUGAACCUUUCCUACUGUAUUUUUGGAAAGUUAUUUGCCUGUCUGCUUUGCAUUUGGACACUUCUUACGAUAUUGUAACCAAAUUUUGCACGAUGGUUCCUGAGAUCAAGGAGUAGGUUUUCAUCUGUUUGGAUUCAAUUGGAUGCCAUUUUGAAUCAAGAUGGCCGACUGAACGUUUCAAUAUGGCACUGAUUUUAACCAGUGAUGUCAAAACAUCUGUGAUUUUCCAUUUCUUAGAAUCCCUGAGCAAAGGUGCACGAGACUGUAUGUUUGUACAUGUUCCAAAACGUGGGAAAUUUUCCUGGAUCUGAAAGACAGAGAAGGGAGUUUCCAUUUAUUUUGUCUGUUAAUCUCAUAGCAUUCAUCCCCUCAACCCUAAGUCCCACCUGCAGGAUAAUAUAGGGGACUUAGGCAGGUGAGUUCUCUUUCUCCCUCCCUUUGUCCCCAUCCCAAAAUCUAAUACUCUGGGUCUCAUAGAAACAUACAGUCGACCUGACAUCUGGUUUCUUUCGACCACUUUUGUCUUCUUGGGGGCCCAUAGAUAUCAAAAAAUUUAGCCUGUCCGUGACUGGGCAACAGUCUCUCUCUGUGUGUCUCCCUCGCUCCCUCUCCUCCAUUAAAAGGUAGCAGCAAAGUGUUCAGUUUUAACCUGGAAGUUUAGUCUCCGAACAAUGAGGUAAGUUACUCUUGAGCAGGCAUAGGCAAACUUGGCCCUCCAGAUGUUUAGGGACUACAACUCCCAUCAUCCCUAGCUAACAGGACCAGUGGUCAGGGAUGAUGGGAAUUGUAGUCUCAAAACAUCUGGAGGGCCGUGUUUGCCUAUGCCUGCUCUUGAGUAUCUUACCUCACCUGCUGUCAGUGUUUAAGCACCACUUUUGGGAAACUAGGGCAGACUUGCAACACAACCCCUUUCUCCACACACCCCACAAUCACAUCCCAUUCAAAUAGUCUCAUGAAUCAUAAAAGAAAACAUUCUGUUUUAAUUAUGAAAUUGCAUUCUUCCAUACUGUUCCAGUUAUACUACGGACUGCACUGGGCUCUUCUACAAUGUCCCAUGCUGCUGCAGCAGCCGCCAAGUCCUUUUUGGUUAUUUUUGUUUAACCGAAGCCACAACCUGAGCGAAAUAAUAAUUUAAUAAUAAUAACCAUUUAUUAUUUAUACUCCGCCCUAAAAAAUUUACUAUUUGUAAUAUUUGUAAUAGAAGUAUAUACAAGGGAAAUGUUUUUAUUCUUUUAAUUCUACAGGUGCUUUUUUGAGGAGGGAUGGCUCCAUUAUCACUUUCAGCUGGGGUGGCUACAGGUCCUACUUUGCAGAGGAUGGUUGUCUGUUUGAAGUAUUGACAGAUGGCAGUGCCCACCCUGCUCCCAAAUGGUAGGCACUCAGCCAUCUGAGCUUGCUGUUAGAGGGAAUUAGCAUUAUAUCAAAAAGCGCCCUGAUUGUGACACUAUGUGUAAUCAAACAUUCAAGUUGUGAAAAUUGCUCUGCAGGCUAUUCCUUAUUGCGUUUUUUUUAAAUAAAAAAAUGAUUUUCUCUAUGAUGAAAUGUGAAGGGAAACUUAUUUUAGUUAUUUGAGAAAUCUUACGCACCCUCACCUGCUUGCUUUCAAGCUUGUUGGUGUAAUAAAUGGUUUUCUGUGUCAAUCCAUAAUAAACUUCAACGUUUUAAAUUACUGUUUGGAUUUACUUGGUAGAUUUUUGUGAGUCAUAACAAACCGAGGACGCUGAUGAAAUGCCACAGGAAGCCACUCAUAAGAUAAAUGGGAAAACUCUCAUAACCUUGACAGUGAAAUGCCAGCUGUCACGACCAGAAUCAUUAAAAGAUAUCAGUCGUAUUGCAAACCCACCUUCCGUUCUCUGAUUAAAAUCUGUCACCCGCACUGCCUCUUUGUAAAAUAAUGACAGAAGGGAGCCCCAGCACACAAUUUGUUGUUCUAAUAUUGACAGAAUGCAUGUGCCUGGAAUGGCUUGCCUCUUGCACGAAACCCAUGGUGGGAAGAGGAUGUCUCUCUAUGGGUUCUGUGUUGUGAGAUGCACACAUUUCCCCAUUCAGAAUUCAGCAGCUCAGGUCAUGGGCAUAGCCAAGGGGUGGGGUGGGGGUGGGGGUGGGCAGCUGCCCCAUCGAUCAAGUAACACAAUAGAAAUGCUUAACUAACUGACCAAUCACGUUGGUUCUGCCCCCCUAACAAAAGUCCUAUUAUUACUUAUAUAUAAACAACUCUCCUGGGAUGCGGGUGGCACUGUGGGUUAAACCACAGAGCCUAGGACUUGCCAAUCAGAAGGUCGGCGGUUUGAACCCCCCGCGACGGGGUGAGCUCCCGUUGCUCGGUCCCUGCUCCUGCCAACCUAGCAGUUUGAAAGCACAUCAAAGUGCAAGUAGAUAAAUAGGUACUGCUCCAGCGGGAAGGUAAACGGCGUUUCCAUGUGCUGCUCUGGUUCACCAGAAGCGACUUAGUCAUGCUGGCCACAUGACCCGGAAGCUGUACGCCGGCUCCCUCGGCCAGUAAAGGGAGAUGAGUGCCGCAACCCCAGAGUUGGCCACGACUGGACCUAAUGGUCAGGGGUCCCUUUACCUUUAUCUUUAUAAACAACUCUGGACCAGGUUACCAAAAAAACACAUUUCCCCUCCAUUGCCCAUUAAGGGCAUAAAGAUAAAUAAACCGACUCUGUUUCUCUAAUUUUAGCAAUAGCCCACACAGGUCUUCUGACAACUCUCAGCCCAUGCUGAUACCUAAAAGGCCUUUGCUACGCCUACAGUGGGCCACCUACCCUAGGAGGGCUCAGCCUUGCUCGACUUCCUUUAUUCCCACAAAAGGUUUCCUAUUAAAAAAAUGAUUCUUCCAUGUCACAUAGUUGACAGCCCUCUUCUGAAAGAUGAAGCUGACUGCGUCUGGUCAUGGAGAUGCAAUGUCCUGGAGACAGUUCACUAAUGCAGUAAAAAUGCAUGACCCCUUUGCUAGUGCUCCACUGUCUUUUUGUAGCAUACUGACUACCCCCCACUCCACCUCCCGUGACUCGCUCCUGGAAAAUGGCCCAUCCCUGUGAAAUACCUUGGAGUGCUACUUUCCUCUUUAUCACUGUUUAGCCUUUCAAGACACAACUUUUUUGAAGAUGUUAUUCGUUUCAAUCGCAUUGAGCUGCAUUUAACACACUCAGGGAUGGCAGGUUAUAAAUGCCUAAAUUUGGUUUCCCAAAUUGUCACUAUCCAGGCAUUGACAAGAUCCAGGCCUGCUUAGCUUCAGCAAGGCGGUGGCCUAAUAUGCUUUCCUACCAUACCCCGGGACCUUUGUAAAUAAUAUAAAUCCAGCACUGUCUCUUUGGAGUCAUAAGCUAACAAAGAAUUCCACAUGUUUGAGAAUUCUGAUGAAACAGAAGCAGGAGCAGAAAAUGCUGAUGUCUGCUUAUUUGCCCUAUAUCUGGAAUGGAAAUCAAUCUAGCAAAUAUAAUUGGCAAUUGCUGUUGUUGUUUUCAGUCCACAAGCUACACAUAACUGAUGACUCCCUCGCUCCAUUUGCAUUGCGUUUCCUUUGAAAUUGAAAUGAAUGGUGUGGAACAGGGGUCGGCAAGGUUUACCUCACCUGGGCUGGUUCACUCCAGCAGAGAUCCCUCUGUGGGCUAGAUUGCGCGCACGCAUAAGCGCAUGCGCCUGUGAUUUUCGACGUCUCUGCAUGCGCAGACGCAAUUUCCGGCGCCGCAGAAGCGAGUCCUCAUACCACACUGCACCGGUUUAGCACAGCACGCGGGGACUUGCCGAGCAGGCGGCUCAGUUUGGGGGCGGCUCAUGGGCCGGUUAAAUGACCCCCGUGGGCCACUUGUGGCCCAUGGGCCUUAGGUUGCCUACUCCUGGUGUGGAAUGUUGUAAUGAUAGUAAAAUUCCACCACAGCGGACAGCGAGCUGAAUAAUGUAGUUUUUGUCUGAAGCCGAGCUGCAGCAGAACAGAAAAGCUCUGCAUGUGACAACAUGGGUGAGAAUGGAAAUAGAUGCCUUCUUCCAUUUCUGGAAGGUCUAUUUUCUUCAGCCAAAAUUUAUCUCCUUGUAGCCCCUUCUUCCCAUCCUAUUCCCAGGACUCAAGCCCACAACAUAUCUUGAACAUAUGCCUUGGGAUGUCAGGCAACGAUUCAGCUGGAAUGAGGGAAUGGCAGUGAGAUCAGUCAGGAUAGCAGGUCUGGUGAUAUUCCCUGGCCUUUGCCAGAGUUUUCAGAUCAGUCUUCUUUGCUUGUCUGAGCACAAAGGAGAGCUGUUCCUGCUGUCCUAUUGCACAGGAGCAAGGUCUUGGAGCGAAAGGAGUGAACAAAUACUCCUUGUCCUUCAGCUAUCUGUCAGUAUGCCCCCACCUGCUUUAAUCUUCUCUUAUCUAAGCUAAUCACAGACACACUUCCUUCAGCCUCUUUGGCAGGAUUUGCCUUUUAGACUCUUUAUCAUGUGCCAUUAAGUUUGCUAACUGGAAAAAAAAAACCCACACCACUCUGCUGGGUUGUUUGGGUACAUCUGACUCCUGGAAUGGAGAUGGAAAAGCUGGUUUAGCUGGUCUGCCUGUGGACAUUUUUUUUAAAAAAUGUAUUGCUUUUGGACUUUUAUGCAUACACAAAUACUGAGCAUGGAGAUGGGGUGGGUGGGCUGAAAAGUUGUGUGCAUGGCACCAACCCAACUGCAAUUGAAAAUGGUGGCUGCACAGGCCCCAGCCUCUCCUCCAGCUAUGGACAUGAUAGCAAGCACUGGUCCUGUUAUGUACUGAAGUUCUCACCCUGGGCCAGCGGGGGGAUACUGUAGAUAGUUCAGGUCCACAUAUGCAGAUAAGGGAUCGAAAGUGACGUUCAGUGAUUGGAUAGUUACAGAAAAUGGUUACUGUUGCGUUCUAGUGGAGCUCUAUAUAAGCAGGCUGGCUGAACCCGUCAGUUCAGUUCUGUUCUGGCCUGUGAGCUGUUUGAAGAAUCGCUGUGUCGUCUGAUAUGUUCACCCACAACUUAACAGGUCCCAUCCCAGCUGAGGAAUCCUGGUAGUCCAAUGAUCAUUUCUUCCAGAUGCAAAUGGGUGGCGAUUGUGCCCUAAGACUUGUGGUGGAGAAAGAAGAUGAACUGGCAAAGGAGUGUAUUUCAUUACGGUUUUCACUAUAAAAUGCAUAAUGUGAUUUUACUUGCAGUCUGAGCUAAGUUGGCUCCCUUUCAUUGAUGUGCUCUGCAUUAAUUUGAAUGUUUCUCCCCAGGAAGACAAUCAGUGAGCCAACUUAGCACAUUCAACUUCAGUUUUCCCCAUCUAUAAAAUUGGUUGAUGUUUCCAAGCGUAUCCUCUAGCUUCAAAAUUCCUUAAAUGAUAUGCUUCCUAAUGUCAUGUUAUGCAUCAGAAAGGUGAAGAAUUACCGUAUUUUUUGCUCUAUAAGACUCACUUUUUCCCUCCUAAAAAGUAAUGGGAAAUGUGUGUGCGUCUUAUGGAGCGAAUGCAGGCUGCGCAGCUAUCCCAGAAGCCAGAAGAGCAAGAGGGAUUGCUGCUUUCACUGCGCAGCGAUCCCUCUUGCUGUUCUGGCUUCUGCAAUUCAGAAUAUUUUUUUUUCUUGUUUUCCUCCUCCAAAAAUUAGGUGCGUCUUGUGGUCUGGUGCGUCUUAUAGAGCGAAAAAUACGGUAGCUUAGUAGUCGCAUGGGGUGGGAAAGGAAUGCUUUAGGGGGUUGUUAUGUGGGGAGUGGUAGGUGGGCAGAGUGAGCAGGGGCACAGCCCCAUGUAUUAUAAAACAAAAUGAUCAGAAUAUGGCCUUUGACUUUAAUUGGCCAUUAGCCCCAUGCGACAAAUGGCUUAUUGGAUGAGAGUUUGUUAUUCUGUUUCUCUUUCCAGCAGUGCAGGGGACAUUGAUGAUUGCAUUACAGAUGUCCUCUUGGAUAUUGGCCAUCUCUUAAAAAAACAAACCCAAAUGCAUGUGGAGAGAUUGAUCGUGGCAGGCUGACCUUCAAGCACCCGCUGUUCUGCAUGACACCUUUUCUUCAAAUGUCAUUCCCUGUAAUAGCAAACUCAAGUGGUGAGUGCCGAGAAGACUGGUGUCCAAACUCAGCAUGAGAAGUGUAGGUGGGUUCCCACAAGGCAAGACACAGUGAUAACAGCAAGAACCUUUAUUGAACUACAUAACUGGGUAACAGGGGCAAAGCAACUGCUUAUAUAUAUUUCUGAAAGUCUGGGCCACUCCCACUCCCAACUUGAUUGGCUGUCUAAACUUCCAAGCUGCGAAUCACGACUCAGAGUUCAAGGGCCAAUGGCAGAGGCCCAAAUCCUGAAAUGUUCUGUGAUUGGACAUCAUGUAUCGAAUCAGAACACAGGAGCUCAGGCAAACACAGACCACUGAAUGCAUAACAGCAUGCAUGGGAGGAAACCCUGAGGUUUGCAAGAGUGCUAAGGAAUCUCGCAGGGUGGGGUGGGGGGAACUCUGAGGGCAAAACAACCACAACCAUACCCCAGUACAGUUGUACCUCAGGUUACAGACGCUUCAGGUUACAGACUCCGCUAACCCAGAAAUAGUACCUCGGGUUAAGAACUUUGCUUCAGGAUGAGAACAGAAAUCGUGUGGCAGUGGCACGGUGGCAGCGGGAGGCCCCAUUAGCUAAAGUGGUACCUUAGGUUAAGAACAGUUUCAGGUUAAGAACAGACCUCCAGAACGAAUUAAGUUCUUAACCCGAGGUACCACUGUACAGCACAAUGAGAAGUGUCUAUGCACAGUAACAUUUGAAUGUUGAGCAUUGGUUGUAGGAGAAUAUAAGUUUGGAGUAAGGGUGAAAUGCUUGAAUAAUAAUAAUAAUAAUAAUAAUAAUAAUAAUUUAUUAUUUAUACCCCACCCAUCUGGCUGGGCCCCCCCCAGCCACUCUGGGCAGCUUCCAACAAAACACUAAAAUACAAUAAUCUAUUAAACAUUAAAAGCUUCUCUAAACAGGGCUGCCUUCAGAUGUCGUCUAAAAGUCUGGUAGUUAUUUUUCUGUUUGACAUCUGGUGGGAGGGCGUUCCACAGGGCGGGCGCCACUACCGAGAAGGCCCUCUGCCUGGUUCCCUGUAACUUGGCUUCUCGCAGUGAGGGAACCGCCAGAAGGCCCUCGGCACUGGACCUCAGUGCCCGGGCAGAACGAUGGAGGUGAACUUGAGCUCCUUCCUGCUUAAAGUUUUCUGUAGGAGGGCAUAGUUGUCUGGCAGAAACUCUAAGAGCACCUAUGUCAAAGUUUUGUUACAGACCCCACUCAGACAUUUUUCUAAUAUCAAACUCCUGCAUGGAUUGCACUUAUUUUCAUUACAGGAUUCCAUUCCCCACCAUCAAUUUGCAGAUAAAAUAACACAUUUUAUUGACCUUACUAACCUCCCCUUCAUGGAUCACUGCCUUGCCAUGGCGAAGGGGCUUGAAUAACUCAGAGAAGCUAUGAACUAUGCCGAGCAGGGCACCCAAGAUGAACAGGUCAUAGUGGAGAGUUUUGACCGAACGUGAUCCACCUGGAGGAGGAACCGGCAAGCCACUCCAGUAUCCCUGCCAAGAAAACUCCAUGGACAAAGAAUGAGAGUAAAACUACGUAAAACUAAACUUUCUGUUAAUGUCAGGGUUAUGCUAGCUGGAAGGUGCGAUUUCAUCAGAACUCAGAAACAAAGCAGGGUUGGUUGCCUCUGAUCUGUGUACAGGAGACCUCAAAAUACACAUACAUGAGCACAUCAGAGGCCGGUUUACUUGCUGGCAUCUGUACCACUAAGGUAACUGGGGUUUCCUGUGAGCUGGAGCAUUAGUGUAUUGGGCAGCUUGCUAGAAGUGAUGUUUUUGUAGCUUAAACUAUUUUGCUGGCUUUUGGAAGUCCGCAGUGGUAUCAAGUAGUUUUUUUUUGGGGGGGGGCGGUUUAGGGGGAAAUGUCACUUCAGUGUUUAAUUUUCAAAACUAUUUAAUUUUCAGGACUACUUUUAUUGUAAUAAGGCAAGAAGAGUCGUGUUGGAUCAGCCUAAAAGCCUAGGACCCUCGUACCUACGGGACCGUUUCUCCCGGUAUGCUCCACAGAGGACCUCAAGGUCCAUAAAUAGCAACACCCUGGAGGUCCCGGGCCCUAAGGAAGUUAGAUUAGCCUCAACCAGAGCCAGGGCCUUUUCAACACUGGCUCCGGCCUGGUGGAACGCUCUGUCUCAUGAGACCAGGGCCCUGCUGGAUCUGAUUUCUUUCCGCAGGGCCUGUAAGACAGAGUUGUUCCACCUGGCCUUUGGCUUAGAAUCAAUUUGAUCUCUUCCCCCUCUUUCCUUUUUCAUUCUCUUUCUGUGAUGGAACUCCUAUUUGGGGACUUCCCUGGCUUUUUUCUGGCCCAUGUAGGACCAGUCUGGAUAGUUGGCCUUGAUGAAGACUUGACAUUUUCAUCCCCCAAAAAAGUUUUUGAUUUGAGUUCCUACUGAAAUGAGGCUGCGUUUUAAUGUUUUAAUGUUGCAUUUUAAUCUUGUUUUUAAGUUGUAUUUCAAUCAAUUGUUUUUAUACCUGUGUCAGCUGCCCUGAGCCCGGUCUUGGCUGGGGAGGGUGGGGUAUAAAUAAAAAUAUUAUUAUUAUUAUUAUCUCAGCAUCCUGUUUCCUGCAAGCAAUGCAUAAGAGCAGCAGGCAUUUAGAGACAUAGUGAGUGAUCAUGACAGCCACUUCAACUAUCACAGGAUCAUAGAACUGGAAAUGUCACCUUGUCUAACCCAUAAGUGAUGAAGGAACAUAGCUGUCAAUGUUUUCCUUUUUUUAAGGGAAAUUCCUUUAUUCCGAAUAGGAUUCCUCGCAAGAAAAGGGAAAAGUUGACAGCUAUGUGAAGGAAACCCAGUACCACAGCAGUGAUGCACAUCCUUGAUAGGUGACAAUCCAGCUUCUGCUUGAAAACCUCUAAUGAAGGAGAGACCAUCACAUCUCAAGAUGAACUGUUCUACUGUUGUCCCUCCUUGUAACAUAUCUAAGUCCUUCAAUGUUUCCACAUAGACUUGAUCCUUCACUCAAAGGACUAGGAGCCACUGAUAGCCUCAUUCUGCAUGGGCUUGUCUAACAAUUGUCUUUUAAAGCUAUCUAGGUUGACAGCCGGGAUGUGGGUGGCGCUGUGGGUUAAACCACAGAGCCUAGGACUUGCCGAUCAGGAGGUCGGCGGUUUGAAUCCCCGCGACAGGGUGAGCUCCCGUUGCCCGGUCCCAGCUCCUGCCAACCUAGCAGUUCGAAAGCAUGUCAAAGUGCAAGUAGAUCAAUAGGUACCGCUCCAGCGGGAAGGUAAACGGCGUUUCCGUGCGCUGCUCUGGAUUUGCCAGAAGCGGCUUAGUCCUGCUGGCCACAUGACCCGGAGGCUGUACGCCGGCUCCCUCGGCCAGUAAAGCGAGAUGAGUGCCGCAACCCCAGAGUCGGCCAUGACUGGACCUAAUGGUCAGGGGUCCCUUUACCUUUACCUAGGUUGACAGCCAAGUCUUUAUGAAAGAAGACAGAUCACGUGGUUUUUGGGUUUGUUUGUUUUUUUACAAUAAGGGUCCAAACUACACAGUGCUCCUGGAAAUACGUUGAAUGUUGUUUCCCUCUGAUGAGAAAAACCUUUAAAAAUUAUCAAAGUUAAGAAAAAGUGUCUCUCUGAACAUGUGCAAAGUGCCCCAUACAACACCAUCUUUUCAAAAGCGCAUUAACAAUGUCUUUCUCUUUUUGGCAACUCCUGCAUCCAAGCUGGUGCCAAAUGUAUUGCUCUGCUUUCCUUUGGACUACAGCAGUGAGGCUGAGAGGUGAGUCCUGUCAUCUGGGCAGCCCAGGACCGCCAUACACACUGCCCAGGCUUGCCCAUCAGAGAGGUCGCUUUGGCACUGCUAACACAGCAAAAGCAACAUGGGGGACAUCAGUUGCAAGUUACUGGUCUCUGCAGUCACAGCAGGGGCUGUGAUUCUCCAGAAGUUCAGUGUCAUCCAUGAAGGUGCACUCUCUUGAGACAAAUGGACGACAACAACAAUGUAGGAAAGCAAUCACCUAAACAUAGAACACAUAUAUGCACAAUUUCUUGGGGAAAUGACAUGAUGUGAUCCCAGGGUAAGGACCAUAUACAGUGGACGCUCGGGUUGUGAACGUGAUCUGUGCGGGAUGCAUGUUCACAACCCGCAGUGUCUGCAACCCGCAGCGGCACGUCUGUGCACGCGUGGGUUUCUAUUCGGCGCAUCUGCACAUGCACAAAGCGCAAUUUAGCCUUCUGCACAUGCGCGACAGCCGAAACUCGGAAGUAACCCAUUCCAGUACUUCCAGGUUUCGGCGGUCCGCAACCCCAAAAAACCCAACCUGAAGCGUCUGUAACCCGAGGUAUGACUGUAAUUUCAGAAACACAUCAGUCAGAUAGAUCAUAGAAUCAUAGAAUCAUAGAGUUGGAAGAGACCACAAGGGCCAUCGAGUCCAACCCCCUGCCAAGCAGGAAACACCAUCAGAGCACUCCUGACAUAUGGUUGUCAAGCCUCUGCUUAAAGACCUCCAAAGAAGGAGACUCCACCACACUCCUUGGCAGCAAAUUCCACUGUCAAACAGCUCUUACUGUCAGGAAGUUCUUCCUAAUGUUUAGGUGGAAUCUUCUUUCUUGUAGUUUGGAUCCAUUGCUCCGUGUCCGCUUCUCUGGAGCAGCAGAAAACAACCUUUCUCCCUCCUCUAUGUGACAUCCUUUUAUAUAUUUGAACAUGGCUAUCAUAUCACCCCUUAACCUCCUCUUCUCCAGGCUAAACAUGCCCAGCUCCCUUAGCCAUUCCUCAUAAGGCAUCGUUUCCAGGCCUUUGACCAUUUUGGUUGCCCUCCUCUGGACACGUUCCAGUUUGUCAGUGUCCUUCUUGAACUGUGGUGCCCAGAACUGGACACAGUACUCCAGGUGAGGUCUGACCAGAGCAGAAUACAGUGGCACUAUUACUUCCCUUGAUCUAGAUACUAUACUCCUAUUGAUGCAGCCCAGAAUUGCAUUGGCUUUUUAGCUGCCGUGUCACACUGUUGGCUCAUGUCAAGUUUGUGGUCAACCAAGACUCCUAGAUCCUUUUCACAUGUACUGCUCUCAAGCCAGGUGUCCCCCAUCUUGUAUUUGUGCCUCUCAUUUUUUUUGCCCAAGUGCAAUACUUUACAUUUCUCCCUGUUAAAAUUCAUCUUGUUUGUUUUGGCCCAGUUCUCUAAUCCGUCAAGGUCGUUUUGAAGUGUGAUCCUGUCCUCUGGGGUAUUAGCCACCCGUCCCAGUUUGGUGUAGAUAUGUUGGUUGGAAUGUCUGAGCUUUAGAAAUUCAUCCAACUAGCACAAGUCUUCUUACUUCUUACUCUGAUAGUGUACUGUUGCAACAUCUAUAUUUUUCUGGCCUGGAUUCUGAGGUUCUGAGUGAUGAAGACUUGAAGCUGCUCUGUACUGAGUCAGAUCAUUGUUUGAGCUAGCUCAGUGACCUGAUGGAUAGUGGCUCACCCAAAAACCAGAGACCCUCUGCUCUGCCCUAGAGCUCUGCCCCCUUGCUCAUAGCUGUUCAUCUCAUUUAUACAUCUGCUUAACACCCCUCCC